UACGUAGAGGGCAAGCGUUGUCCGGAUUUAUUGGGCGUAAAGAGCGUGUAGGCGGCCAGAUAGGUCCGUUGUGAAAACUGGAGGCUUAACCUCCAGCUGUCGAUGGAAACCAUCUGGCUAGAGUCCGGAAGAGGCGAGUGGAAUUCCUGGUGUAGCGGUGGAAUGCGCAGAUAUCAGGAGGAACACCAAUGGCGAAGGCAGCUCGCUGGGACGGUACUGACGCUGAGGUGCGAAAGCGUGGGGAGCGAACAGG
rnacentral:rRNA from 1 species